ACGAACUCUUCGGAGUUAGUGGCGGACGGGUGAGUAACACGUGGGAACGUGCCUUUUGGUUCGGAAUAACUCAGGGAAACUUGUGCUAAUACCGAAUGUGCCCUUCGGGGGAAAGAUUUAUCGCCAUUAGAGCGGCCCGCGUCUGAUUAGCUAGUUGGUGAGGUAACGGCUCACCAAGGCGACGAUCAGUAGCUGGUCUGAGAGGAUGAUCAGCCACACUGGGACUGAGACACGGCCCAGACUCCUACGGGAGGCAGCAGUGGGGAAUCUUGCGCAAUGGGCGAAAGCCUGACGCAGCCAUGCCGCGUGAAUGAUGAAGGUCUUAGGAUUGUAAAAUUCUUUCACCGGGGACGAUAAUGACGGUACCCGGAGAAGAAGCCCCGGCUAACUUCGUGCCAGCAGCCGCGGUAAUACGAAGGGGGCUAGCGUUGCUCGGAAUUACUGGGCGUAAAGGGCGCGUAGGCGGAUCGUUAAGUCAGGGGUGAAAUCCCGGGGCUCAACCUCGGAAUUGCCCUUGAUACUGGCGAUCUUGAGUAUGAGAGAGGUAUGUGGAACUCCGAGUGUAGAGGUGAAAUUCGUAGAUAUUCGGAAGAACACCAGUGGCGAAAGGCGACAUACUGGCUCAUUACUGACGCUGAGGCGCGAAAGCGUGGGGAGCAAACAGGAUUAGAUACCC
rnacentral:rRNA from 1 species